AACAAUUAACAAAAUAUGCAUUCUUGUAAAAUAAUAGGAUAAAAAGACUGGUAAAAAGUGCUAAGUUGGUAUAAAGUGCUAAAAAGUUAAAUGCUAAGAGGUUAAGUGCUAGAAAACCACACAAUCAAAAGUGAAAAUAUACAAAUAUAAAUAAGUGCUGGGUAAGAAAGGUAAAGCCAACAAGUAAGAGGAAAAAAUAAAAAGGCACACAGACACACAAAAGAAAACAAAAACAAAGGGAUACCAGUCCUAAUAAACUAAAACCAUACAGAGUAUAAAAGUUAAUGGAAAUAAAUAAAUAAUUAAUACAUAGUUAAUAAUUUAUCUGUUUUACAAAUAUAAAAAAGACCUACAAGGGGAGGGAAGGAAACAGACAGGGAGACACAAGGGGGAUAAAAGGUUUUAUUUUUUAAUUGAGUUUUUCGUUAAAACCUGUAGGGAAAAGUGUAUUUAAUUUUAAAAUCCACAGCCUCUCUGCUCUUUUUCUCUGGGCUGUGGACCAGCCUGGAUUCCCCUCAAGGCCGCAUGUUUGAAGGUGGGAAGUGUUGUGUGUCUGAAAAUGAAUGACGAGGUGUGUUUGGAGUUUAUUGUUACGUAUGUUGCGGAGGUGUUGUGUGAGGCGUAUGCGAAGUGUAUGUUUGGUUUCUCCAAUGUAGAUCAGGUGACAGAGGGUACAGGUGAUGGCAUAAACUAAGUUGGGGGUGUCUAAAUUAAGGGGGCUGUUGGGGGCUGAAAGGUGACUAUGAAUGUUGGUGAUGAAGUGAUGGGGUCUGAAAUAAAUAUUUUCUUUGGGAGUGGGGGGCUUGAGAUGACGAGUGAAGGUGGUUCUGAUAAGUAGGUCCUUGAGGUUUUUAUUGCGUUUAUAUGCGGAAAUGAUUGUGGUGUUCUGAAAUGUAGGGAGUGUUGUUUGCAGUGUAGUGAAGUUGUGUUUCAGUCUGUGGUGUAGAUGUUGUGUACCUUGUGAGAAAGUGGUGAUGAGGGGUAGGAUGUAUGUUUCUGUAGGGGGGGUUAAGGUUAGGGUUAGGAAUGAGGUCUGAUAUAGGGUGUGAUGGCACGGCUGGGCUAGGGUAAAGAUCUGGGAUGGGGUUAGAGACAGGGUUAGGGUUAGGAAUGGGGUUUGGGUUAGGGUUAGGAUUUGGGUAUGGGUUAAGGUUAGGUGCAGGGGAAAAAGUGAUGGCAUAAACUAAGUUGGGGGUGUCUAAAUUAAGGGGGCUGUUGGGGGCUGAAAGGUGACUAUGAAUGUUGGUGAUGAAGUGAUGGGGUCUGAAAUAAAUAUUUUCUUUGGGAGUGGGGGGCUUGAGAUGACGGGUGAAGGUGGUUCUGAUAAGUAGGUCCUUGAGGUUUUUAUUGCGUUUAUAUGCGGAAAUGAUUGUGGUGUUCUGAAAUGUAGGGAGUGUUGUUUGCAGUGUAGUGAAGUUGUGUUUCAGUCUGUGGUGUAGAUGUUGUGUACCUUGUGAGAAAGUGGUGAUGAGGGGUAGGAUGUAUGUUUCUGUAGGGGGGUUAGGGUUAGGAAUGAGGUCUGAUAUAGGGUGUGAUGGCACGGCUGGGCUAGGGUAAAGAUCUGGGAUGGGGUUAGAGACAGGGUUAGGGUUAGGAAUGGGGUUGGGGUUAGGGUAUGGGUUAAGGUUAGGGUCUGGGUUAUGGUGUAGGUUAGGGUUAGGGUGUGGGUUAGGGUUAGGAAUGGGUCCAGAGUUUGAUGGGGGUUAGGGUCAGGAGGGGAACUUGGUUGGGUUGUGUAGGUGUGUGUCUGGUCCUGGUUGGGGUUUGGAUGGUGAUGGUUGAAGGAGGUAGUGGGGUGUGGGUUGGGAGGUUUGGAAGGCUGGAUGAUUUGAGAAGUGUCUGAAUGGGCCUGUGUGUGGUUGGGAUGUUGUGUGUGAGGGUUGUUUGAGUGAGUAGGAGCAAGACCGGUCAGUGUUUCAUUUUUUAUGGAACGGAGGAAGCGUUUUGAAUAGUGGCGUGUAUGGAGGGCAUGAAAUAGAAUUUUGAUGUCAUGGUGGAGGUCUGAGGGGAAGGAGCAAAUGCGGUGAAAUUGGAUGAUUUGUGAUUUGAUGAUUGCUCUGAACGUGUGUUUGGGGUGGUUGCUGUGUUUAUGUAAGAGGGAAUGUGUGUCUGUGGGUUUGAAAUAAAACUUUGGAACUAAUGGCUUUGUGGGUGGGGGAGAUGGGGGUAAAGAAGAUGGUGGUGUCUAGAAAAUGAAUCUCCUCUGAGUGGAUUGUGGCCUUGAGUGUAAUGUGUUGAUGGGAGUUGAGGGUGGCUAAAAAAGUGUUGAAGUCUGAAAGUGAGUGUGGCCAGGCUCCUAUGAUGUCGUCGAGAUAGCGGAAGUAAAAAAUGGGUUGUAGGGGGCAUUUGGUGAGGGCGGCUUGCUCCCACUCACUCAUGUAUAUGUUUGCAUAAGAGGGGGCAAAUCGUUGGCCCAUGGCAGUCCCAUGAAUUUGCAGAAAAAGUUUAUUGUCGAAUUGGAAGUCGUUAUGUGUGAGGCAAAGUUGGAGUAAUUGAAGGAGGAUGUUAUCUGGUCUGUCUGGGUCCGGGUGUUUACUGAAGGUGGUGCGGAUGGCUUGAAUGCCAGUGGGUGUGUCAAUGUUUGUGUAUAAACUGUCUACAUCUAGAGUGAAAAGGUGGGUGUUGUGUGGGACUGCCAUGGACCUGAUUUUACUGAGGAAUUGGUAGGUGUCUUUGAGGUAGGAGGGGUGUUUGGUGGAAAUGGGGUUGAGGUGUGCGUCAAUGUAAAUGGAUAUUUUGUAUGUGGAACUGUUGCAAUCAGAAACUAUGGGUCUACCAGGAGGAACUGCAAAGGGAAUGGGCCAGGUUUCUGGGGGCUUGUGAAUUUUAGGGAGGAGAUAGAAUUGGCGUGGGCGGGGGUUGUCUGGACCAGAGAGGACAUUUUUUUGUUUGUGGGUGAUGUAGCCUUGGUGGUAAAGGGUGGAGAGAUGCUGACGGAUUUGGGACUUUGCUGAGGGUUGGGUGGACUGUGAGAUGGGGCGGUAGUGAUAGAUAUUGUUGAGUUGUCUAUUGGCUUCAGUG
ensembl:lncRNA